GACGAACGCUGGCGGCGUGCCUAAUACAUGCAAGUCGAACGCUUCUUUCCUCCCGAGUGCUUGCACUCAAUUGGAAAGAGGAGUGGCGGACGGGUGAGUAACACGUGGGUAACCUACCCAUCAUAGGGGGAUAACACUUGGAAACAGGUGCUAAUACCGCAUAACAGUUUAUGCCGCAUGGCAUAAGAGUGAAAGGCGCUUUCGGGUGUCGCUGAUGGCUGGACCCGCGGUGCAUUAGCUAGUUGGUGAGGUAACGGCUCACCAAGGCCACGAUGCAUAGCCGACCUGAGAGGGUGAUCGGCCACACUGGGACUGAGACACGGCCCAGACUCCUACGGGAGGCAGCAGUAGGGAAUCUUCGGCAAUGGACGAAAGUCUGACCGAGCAACGCCGCGUGAGUGAAGAAGGUUUUCGGAUCGUAAAACUCUGUUGUUAGAGAAGAACAAGGACGUUAGUAACUGAACGUCCCCUGACGGUAUCUAACCAGAAAGACACGGCUAACUACGUG
rnacentral:rRNA from 1 species